AGAGUUUGAUCAUGGCUCAGAAUCAACGCUGGCGGCGCGCUUAACACAUGCAAGUCGCACGAGAAAGUGGAGCAAUCCAUGAGUACAGUGGCGUACGGGUGAGUAACACGUGGAUCAUCUACCUCUUAGUGGGGAAUAACCCUGGGAAACCGGGGCUAAUACCGCAUAAGCUCGAGAGAGGAAAGCAGCAAUGCGCUGAGAGAGGAGUCCGCGGCCGAUUAGCUAGUUGGCAGGGUAAAAGCCUACCAAGGCAAAGAUCGGUAGCCGGCCUGAGAGGGCACACGGCCACACUGGCACUGAAACACGGGCCAGACUCCUACGGGAGGCAGCAGUGGGGAAUCUUGCACAAUGGGGGAAACCCUGAUGCAGCGACGCCGCGUGAGCGAUGAAGCCCUUCGGGGUGUAAAGCUCUUUCGGCAGGGACGAUCAUGACGGUACCUGCAGAAGCAGCUGCGGCUAACUACGUGCCAGCAGCCGCGGUAAUACGUAGGCAGCGAGCGUUGUUCGGAGUUACUGGGCGUAAAGGGUGUGUAGGCGGUUGCUUAAGUUUGGUGUGAAAUCUCCCGG
rnacentral:rRNA from 1 species